ACGCUCGACACCUACGGGAGCAGCAGUGGGGAAUAUUGCACAAUGGGGGAAACCCUGAUGCAGCGACGCCGCGUGAGUGAAGAAGUAUUUCGGUAUGUAAAGCUCUAUCAGCAGGGAAGAGAAUGACGGUACCUGACUAAGAAGCCCCGGCUAACUACGUGCCAUCAGCCGCGGUAAUCUGAGCGGGCUGGCAAGGC
rnacentral:rRNA from 1 species